GCCUUCUUAGUAUACCAGUACAAACGGCCUCCAACCGCUUAGGCCCAGAUCAGCCUGGGAGAAGGCA
rnacentral:tRNA from 1 species